AGGCACGACCCUGCAGAGCGCACGGUGGCAGCCAGUGAUUUAAUGGAGGGGAUGAGCUACCUUCCCCAAGUUCACAUGCGAGGCAGGCAAAAAAUGCUGCCGUUUUUCCGGAGAGCACCAGAAGAGGAGCUCUGAGUAACUGUGGAAGGCCAAGCUGCAACUGGACGGCCACCGGCGAGGGAAGGUUUAAUUCUGUACUGCACUCAGCAGGGGGCUGGACCUGAUGGCCCUCUGGCCCCUUCCAGCUCGACUUUUCUAUGCUUCUACAAGUUGCUGUGGUCACAGGACCUGGACUGGAUGGAAAGUGGAGCUGGCCAGAGAGCCCUAUGGGCCGUGGAGCGGCAUACACAUGUAACAACAACGGAUUCCAUAAAUGGGGUGCCACAAUCGAAAAGGC